rnacentral:rRNA from 1 species
AGAGUUUGAUCCUGGCUCAGGAUGAACGCUGGCGGCGUGCUUAACACAUGCAAGUCGAACGAAGCACUUUAAUUGAUUUCUUCGGAAUGAAGUUUUUGUGACUGAGUGGCGGACGGGUGAGUAACGCGUGGGUAACCUGCCUCAUACAGGGGGAUAACAGUUGGAAACGACUGCUAAUACCGCAUAAGCGCACAGGAUUGCAUGAUCCAGUGUGAAAAACUCCGGUGGUAUGAGAUGGACCCGCGUCCGAUUAGCUAGUUGGUGAGGUAACGGCCCACCAAGGCAACGAUCGGUAGCCGGACUGAGAGGUUGAACGGCCACAUUGGGACUGAGACACGGCCCAGACUCCUACGGGAGGCAGCAGUGGGGAAUAUUGCACAAUGGGAGAAACCCUGAUGCAGCGACGCCGCGUGGAGGAAGAAGGUCUUCGGAUUGUAAACUCCUGUUGUUGAGGAAGAUAAUGACGGUACUCAACAAGGAAGUGACGGCUAACUACGUGCCAGCAGCCGCGGUAAAACGUAGGUCACAAGCGUUGUCCGGAAUUACUGGGUGUAAAGGGAGCGCAGGCGGGAAGGCAAGUUGGAAGUGAAAUCCAUGGGCUCAACCCAUGAACUGCUUUCAAAACUGUUUUUCUUGAGUAGUGCAGAGGUAGGCGGAAUUCCCGGUGUAGCGGUGGAAUGCGUAGAUAUCGGGAGGAACACCAGUGGCGAAGGCGGCCUACUGGGCACCAACUGACGCUGAGGCUCGAAAGUGUGGGUAGCAAACAGGAUUAGAUACCCUGGUAGUCCACACUGUAAACGAUGAUUACUAGGUGUUGGAGGAUUGACCCCUUCAGUGCCGCAGUUAACACAAUAAGUAAUCCACCUGGGGAGUACGACCGCAAGGUUGAAACUCAAAGGAAUUGACGGGGGCCCGCACAAGCAGUGGAGUAUGUGGUUUAAUUCGACGCAACGCGAAGAACCUUACCAAGUCUUGACAUCCUGCGACGGUGCUGGAAACAGUACUUUCCUUCGGGACGCAGAGACAGGUGGUGCAUGGUUGUCGUCAGCUCGUGUCGUGAGAUGUUGGGUUAAGUCCCGCAACGAGCGCAACCCUUAUGGUCAGUUACUACGCAGGAGGACUCUGGCCAGACUGCCGUUGACAAAACGGAGGAAGGUGGGGAUGACGUCAAAUCAUCAUGCCCUUUAUGACUUGGGCUACACACGUACUACAAUGGCGUUAAACAAAGAGAAGCAAGACCGCGAGGUGGAGCAAAACUCAGAAACAACGUCCCAGUUCGGACUGCAGGCUGCAACUCGCCUGCACGAAGUCGGAAUUGCUAGUAAUCGCAGAUCAGCAUGCUGCGGUGAAUACGUUCCCGGGCCUUGUACACACCGCCCGUCACACCAUGAGAGCCGGGGGGACCCGAAGUCGGUAGUCUAACCGCAAGGAGGACGCCGCCGAAGGUAAAACUGGUGAUUGGGGUGAAGUCGUAACAAGGUA